rnacentral:rRNA from 1 species
AACGAACGCUGGCGGCAUGCCUAACACAUGCAAGUCGAACGAGACCUUCGGGUCUAGUGGCGCACGGGUGCGUAACGCGUGGGAACCUGCCCUUAGGUUCGGAAUAACUCCCCGAAAGGGGUGCUAAUACCGGAUAAUGUCUUCGGACCAAAGAUUUAUCCCCUUUGGAUGGGCCCGCGUUGGAUUAGCUAGUUGGUAGGGUAAAAGCCUACCAAGGCGACGAUCCAUAGCUGGUCUGAGAGGAUGAUCAGCCACACUGGGACUGAGACACGGCCCAGACUCCUACGGGAAGCAGCAGUGGGGAAUAUUGGACAAUGGGCGAAAGCCUGAUCCAGCAAUGCCGCGUGAGUGAUGAAGGCCUUAGGGUUGUAAAGCUCUUUUACCCGGGAUGAUAAUGACAGUACCGGGAGAAUAAGCUCCGGCUAACUCCGUG